rnacentral:rRNA from 1 species
CACUGACGGUCACGCACGAAAGUGUGGGGAGCUAUCAGGAUUAGAUACCUUGCUAGUUCAAGCCCUAAUCGAUGUCUGAUAGUGGUGGGGUCUUAUUUGACUUGGUAACGCAGCUAACGCGUGAAGUAGACCACUAGGGGAGUACGGUCGCAAGAUUAAAAGUCAAAGGAAUUGACGGGGCCCCGCACAAGCGGUGGAUGAUGUGGAUUAAUUCGAUGCAACGCGAAAAACCUUACCUACCCUUGACAUGGAUGGAAUCAAGAAGAGAUUUGGGAGUGCUCGAAAGAGAACCAUCACACAGGUGCUGCAUGGCUGUCGUCAGCUCGGCUCGUGUGAUGUUGGGUUAAGUCCCGCAACGUGCGCAACCCUUGUCAUUAGCAGCUAGGAAAGGGCUCUUUAAUGAGCAUGCCGGGAUCAAACCGGAGGAAGGUGGGGACGACGUCAAGUCCUCAUGGCCAUUAUGGGUAGGGCUUCACCAGUCAUACAAUGGUUCAUACAGAGGGCUGCCAAGCCGCGAGGGGGAGUUAAUCCCAGAAAGUGUAUGGUAGUCCGGAUCGGAGUCCGCAAUUCGAGUCCAUGAAGUUGGAUUCGCUAGUAAUCGCGGAUCAGCAUGUCGCGGUGAAUACGUUCCCGGGUCUUGUACACAC